rnacentral:rRNA from 1 species
UAGGGAAUCUUCCGCAAUGGACGAAAGUCUGACGGAGCAACGCCGCGUGAGCGGAGAAGGCCUUCGGGUCGUAAAGCUCUGUUGUUAGGGAAGAACAAGUAACGCAGUAACUGGCGUUACCGUGACGGUACCUAACGAGAAAGCCACGGCUAACUACGUGCCAGCAGCCGCGGUAAUACGUAGGUGGCAAGCGUUGUCCGGAAUUAUUGGGCGUAAAGCGCGCGCAGGCGGUUCCUUAAGUCUGAUGUGAAAGCCCACGGCUCAACCGUGGAGGGUCAUUGGAAACUGGGGGACUUGAGUGCAGAAGAGGAGAGCGGAAUUCCACGUGUAGCGGUGAAAUGCGUAGAGAUGUGGAGGAACACCAGUGGCGAAGGCGGCUCUCUGGUCUGUAACUGACGCUGAGGCGCGAAAGCGUGGGGAGCAAACAGGAUUAGAUACCCUGGUAGUCCACGCCGUAAACGAUGAGUGCUAAGUGUUAGAGGGUAUCCGCCCUUUAGUGCUGUAGCUAACGCAUUAAGCACUCCGCCUGGGGAGUACGCUCGCAAGAGUGAAACUCAAAG